GAGGGAAACGCAUACAUCUGAAUGCAGAUGUUGGUUUCUAACUCACUAGGAUUGUCUGUGGAGUGAAUUGUUUAUUGAACAUAACUGUACAGAUAUUUUACACGUGUUAUAAGAAUAUUGUGCUAGUG